UACGUAGGGUGCAAGCGUUGUCCGGAAUUAUUGGGCGUAAAGAGCUCGUAGGCGGUCUGUCGCGUCGGGCUGUGAAAACUCGGGGCUCAACCCCGAGCCUGCAGUCGAUACGGGCAGACUAGAGUCCGGCAGGGGAGACUGGAAUUCCGUGGUGUAGCGGUGAAAUGCGCAGAUAUCAGGAGGAACACCGGUGGCGAAGGCGCCACCUCUGGGCCGGUACUGACGCUGAGGAGCGAAAGCGUGGGUAGCAAACAGGAU
rnacentral:rRNA from 1 species